AAUCAACGCUGGCGGCGUGCCUAACACAUGCAAGUCGAACGCGAGAGAGGCUUCGGCCUCAAUUGAGUGGCAAACGGGUGAGUAACACGUGGGUGACCUACCUUCGAGUGGGGGACAACGUCCCGAAAGGGACGCUAAUACCGCAUAACAUCCUGCCUUUGAACAGGCGGAGAUCAAAGCCGGGGAUCGUAAGACCUGGCGCUUGAUGAGGGGCCCGCGUCUGAUUAGCUAGUUGGUGAGGUAACGGCCCACCAAGGCGACGAUCAGUAUCCGGCCUGAGAGGGCGGACGGACACACUGGGACUGAGACACGGCCCAGACUCCUACGGGAGGCAGCAGUGGGGAAUUGUUCACAAUGGGCGCAAGCCUGAUGACGCAACGCCGCGUGGAGGAUGAAGGUCUUCGGAUUGUAAACUCCUGUUGCUCGGGACGAAAAGCUUCGACCUAAUACGUCGAGGUCUGACGGUACCGAGUGAGGAAGCCCCGGCUAACUCUGUGC
rnacentral:rRNA from 1 species